rnacentral:rRNA from 1 species
GACGGAGGAUGCAAGUGUUAUCCGGAAUCACUGGGCGUAAAGCGUCUGUUGGUGGUUUAAUAAGUCAACUGUUAAAUCUUGAGGCUCAACCUCAAAAUCGCAGUCGAAACUAUUAGGCUAGAGUAUAGUAGGGGUAAAGGGAAUUUCCAGUGGAGCGGUGAAAUGCGUAGAGAUUGGAAAGAACACCGAUGGCGAAGGCACUUUACUGGGCUAUUACUAACACUCAGAGACGAAAGCUAGGGUAGCAAAUGGG